UCGCAAACCAGUUGCGAAUUAUGGGAUAUCAUCCGGGUAGUCGCGGGGUAAAAACAAUAACAAAAGCAACAACCAGUCCCGGGGAAUUGCUCUAGAUCAGUGUCCCUUUCAAAAAUGUCAAUACACAUCUAUCAACACU